rnacentral:rRNA from 1 species
GACGAACGCUGGCGGCGUGCUUAACACAUGCAAGUCGAACGGAAAGGCCCUGCUUUUGUGGGGUGCUCGAGUGGCGAACGGGUGAGUAACACGUGAGUAACCUGCCCUUGACUUUGGGAUAACUUCAGGAAACUGGGGCUAAUACCGGAUAGGAGCUCCUGCUGCAUGGUGGGGGUUGGAAAGUUUCGGCGGUUGGGGAUGGACUCGCGGCUUAUCAGCUUGUUGGUGGGGUAGUGGCUUACCAAGGCUUUGACGGGUAGCCGGCCUGAGAGGGUGACCGGCCACAUUGGGACUGAGAGACGGCCCAGACUCCUACGGGAGGAAGAAGUGGGGAAUAUUGCACAAUGGGCGGAAGCCUGAUGCAGCAACGCCGCGUGCGGGAUGACGGCCUUCGGGUUGAAAACCGCUUUCGCCUGUGACGAAGCGUGAGUGACGGUAAUGGGUAAAGAAGCACCGGCUAACUACG